AUCAUGAGUUCACAUGUCCGCAUGAUUAAAGGUAUUUUCCGGUAGACGAUGGGGAUGCGUUCCAUUAGAUAGUAGGCGGGGUAACGGCCCACCUAGUCAACGAUGGAUAGGGGUUCUGAGAGGAAGGUCCCCCACAUUGGAACUGAGACACGGUCCAAACUCCUACGGGAGGCAGCAGUGAGGAAUAUUGGUCAAUGGGCGAUGGCCUGAACCAGCCAAGUAGCGUGAAGGAUGACUGCCCUAUGGGUUGUAAACUUCUUUUAUAAAGGAAUAAAGUCGGGUAUGCAUACCCGUUUGCAUGUACUUUAUGAAUAAGGAUCGGCUAACUCCGUGCCAGCAGCCGCGGUAAUACGGAGGGUCCGAGCGUUAUUCGGAUUUAUUGGGUUUAAAGGGAGCGUAGAUGGAUGUUUAAGUCAGUUGUGAAGGUUUGCGGCUCAACCGUAAAAUUGCAGUUGAUACUGGAUGUCUUGAGUGCAGUUGAGGCAGGCGGAAUUCGUGGUGUAGCGGUGAAAUGCUUAGAUAUCACGAAGAACUCCGAUUG
rnacentral:rRNA from 1 species